UGAAUGUCAGAAUUUAUGCUCCAAGCAAUGUUUCCGGGAGCAGAGCAUUACUGGAACACAAUGUCAUCUGUGUUUCUUAAGGGGCAGAAUCUCCGAAGCACCAGAAGAACAGAGAAGAAAAUGAGGAAAAUCACAUGAAAUGGGCACUUUAAAGCUUCUUUACUUUGACAACAAUGAGUUCCACUUUCCAAUUGACUGCUGAAGGAUAAGUGUAUAUAAAGUUGAGAAACCUUGGAGAGAAACUGCACUAUUGGAAGAGGAAACGACCAAAGCUGAGAAAGGAAGAGAGAACGGAUGGAAAUCAAGGCCCAGGAAUUGGAUCGUACUCAAUCCCAGUGAGGGCAGGCUUUACACACUCAGAUCAAGACUGGCGAUAGAUACACGACAAAGUGGAAAGGAAGAAUGAGAAAAGGAUAGAAUAAGAGAAAGGCUUGCAGUGAUAUAGUGCCUUUCAUGACAAUGUAUGAGCUAUAAGGACAGGCUUG